rnacentral:lncRNA from 1 species
CUUUAUAUUUGAAUGACUUUGUCACAGCUCUAAACAGUAAGACCAUUAACAUUACAAUACAUCCUAACUGGCACCCCAAAAUUACUCUUAUGUAAUCAACUGUUUCAUCAACAAGAAGGAUAAAAUAAAGAGCUCCGCCAUUUUUAUUCCCCGUCGAACAUUUUCUAAAGAUACUGUCACGGUGGUAUGACUCCCAUGGUGGUGGUUCAGUCUGGAUGGAUUUGGUAGGUAUGGUGGAUAGUGGUGGUUCAGUCUGGGUGGGCUUGGUAGGUAUGGUGGAUAGUGGUGGUUCAGUCUGGAUGGGCUUGGUAGGUGUGGUGGUUCAGUCUGGAUGGGCUUGGUAGGUGUGGUGGAUAGUGGUGGUUCAGUCUGGGUGGGCUUGGUAGGCGUGGUGGAUGGUGGUGGUUCAGUCUGGGUGGGCUUGGUAGGUGUGGUGGUUCAGUCUGGAUGGACUUGGUAGGUAUGGUGGAUCGUGGUGGUUCAGUCUGGAUGGACUUGGUAGGUAUGGUGGAUCGUGGUGGUUCAGUCUGGAUGGACUUGGUAGGUAUGGUGGAUAGUGGUGGUUCAGUCUGGAUGGACUUGGUAGGUGUGGUGGAUCGUGGUGGUUCAGUCUGGAUGGACUUGGUAGGCGUGGUGGAUAGUGGUGGUUCAGUCUGGAUGGGCUUGGUAGGCGUGGUGGAUAGUGGUGGUUCAGUCUGGAUGGACUUGGUAGGCGUGGUGGAUAGUGGUGGUUCAGUCUGGAUGGACUUGGUAGGUGUGGUGGAUAGUGGUGGUUCAGUCUGGAUGGACUUGGUAGGCGUGGUGGAUAGUGGUGGUUCAGUCUGGAUGGGCUUGGUAGGCGUGGUGGAUAGUGGUGGUUCAGUCUGGAUGGACUUGGUAGGUGUGGUGGAUAGUGGUGGUUCAGUCUGGAUGGACUUGGUAGGCGUGGUGGAUAGUGGUGGUUCAGUCUGGAUGGACUUGGUAGGCGUGGUGGAUAGUGG